rnacentral:rRNA from 1 species
GCUUGCAAUGGGGGAAGCCUGAGCAGCGACGCCGCGUGGGCGAUGAAAGCCUUCGGGUUGUAAAGCCCUGUCGGAGGGGAAGAAACACAGGAUGGUUAAUAGCCAUUCUGCUUGACGGUACCCUCAGAGGAAGCACCGGGGGGGGUAGGGGGCCGGCAGCCGCGGUAAUACGUAGGGUGCAAGCGUUGUUCGGAAUCAUUGGGCGUAAAGCGCGUGUAGGCGGUCAAGCAAGUCGGAUGUGAAAGCCCUGGGCUCAACCUAGGACCUGCAUUUGUGACUGUAUAGCUAGAGUGCGGUAGAGGGGGAUGGAAUUCCGCGUGUAGCAGUGAGGUGGGGUGGAUAUGCGGAGGAACACCGAUGGCGAAGGCAAUCCCCUGGACCUGUACUGACGCUCAUGCACGAAAG